UUAAGUGGUACCACAACAGAAGCGUAUACUCUGAAGGGCAUGAGCUGCGAGUGUCAUUGUCAACUGAAAGCUUCUCCUGUGAAGUGAAAGGCCUGCGGUCACCUGAAGUCUGUAUUGAGGAUAAGAACUGCUGGAGCGUGAAUUAUGUCCGGAGAACAAUCUGUGCUCUGGAGGGCUCUUCAGUGAACAUUUCAAGUGAAUAUUCUUUCCCUAACAACAGCCAUCCCACGUCAAAAAUAUGGUUCAAAAAUGGCAGGGGGAAUAAAG